GCCUGGACGGCCGCGGACAUUCCGACGAGCGGCCGGGGUUCGCGCGGUCUGUCGCGAAGCGACCCGGCGGGCUGGAGCUACUGCGGAGCGUGGGCUCGGCCCUAGCGGGAGCCAAGCACCGGCCGCAGCUCUCUGUGGGCUGCAAUUCUAGCAAACAGCCGGAAGCGCCCUGCUGGUUGCUGCUGCUUUUGCUCUUCCGUCCUGCAGGCUCUUCACGAGCAUCCCUCCCUGCGCUCCAGCUCCCGGCCGCGGCGGAUGGAAGAUAACCCGUGGAGAUUCAGCCCAUGGAGACAAGCCCUGUUUGCUCUUUUCUGCCUAAUCCUCUCAGCACUCCAGAACCUUCCAAGAUGAGCAUGCAACCCUCUAAAGUUUCAGGUGACUAUUUAUUUUCCAGUGGUUUGGACCAGUCAGUAUUUGGUUAACUAAUACCACAUUAAAUAAUAUAUAACUACAUUAGCAAGCAGUGAUCCAGUUAUUACCCAUCAACAUUUUGGCUGGUCACAUGCUGCAUUCCAAUGCAUAUAAGAUAAUAAAAUAGGACAGAGGUGUUUAUGUUGUUGUUGGUUUUUUUUUUUUUGUGUCAAUGAAAAAUUGUCCUCAACUUGGCUUGGUCAAUUUUAGAAGUUAUCAUAUUCAAAUAGAAAGUGUACAUUUACCUUGGGUUCUACAUGUUUUUCUACUUAGGGGAUUUUUUCCACUAUUCUAAGACCACAUACAGAACUUUGAAGGGAGAUGAGUUUACUCAAUCUUCCAAAGAAGUCUGAGAAAUCACAACCACCACCAUUAGGUUUGUACAGUGUUUUGUGCUAAAUUAUUUCAAACAUGGUGGUGUUCUUCUUCUUUAGAGAUAGCACUAAGUCUUGUAAAUAAGCCUUUAUUAUGGUUUUUCUUUUUUUCAGUUACAAGAUCUUUACACUCACUCACCACCCACAGUGAUUGAAAUAACAACUUGUGUUCAGCCUACCUUAAGCAAGAACACUUCCUAUACUGGGCUCAAUUAAUUUGACUCAUUUUUAAAUGUAGGGAACUUAUCUAUGGUUCUUUCUUUUUUUAGGACAGUGACAAAAAAAGAGGAAGAGACACCUGAUCUGCAGCAUGAUGAGAACUGGACAUUUUGGGGGCCUCUCAGUGCAUAGAUCUGUAAUAGAACAGUGUAAGAAGUAGUGGCAUACACAGUCAUCAUCCUACCUCAUCACACUAGUAGGUUUUGAUUUCUAAAGCAGAAAAUGCCCUCAAGUUUUCUCAAGACAUUUUUUCCACCUUCAACUUCAAUAGCAAACCCCACCUCUGCUGAAUGACUUGUGUAAGAUAGAAUGCAGAACUCAUGCAUUCAGCAGCUCCUCUUAAAUUAUCUUAAAACAGCCUCACAGAUGUUUCCUGAUCACAGAUUAUCAGCUUACAGGUGUUUUUUUUGUUUUUUUUUUUAAACUAUGCAUAAACCAAAGCACAGACCCAGAAAGACCAUGUACGUUUUGUCAAGUCCUUGCAGCAAUGUAAAAAAAAAAAAAUAUAUAUAUAAAUGAUCAUACACGUCCGUAUUUCACUCAAGAUUAAAAAUCAUCUGCCAGAAGAACAACUGCUUGCUAUCAAGUGUAUUUUUAUAACGCGAUUUCAACUUUAAGAUAAGAUUUAGAAGUCCAUAUUUGAUAAAAUUAAGCUUGGUAGAUGGUAACACCAUUAUACUAUUUAGAAGCCAUAUCUUUCCUCUGCCAGCAGAUUUAUGAGUGGGACCUUGAAUUUUACUGCAUUUUAGUAGUUUGUAGUGCUAGGCCUUCCUUUGGCAGCCUACAGCAUAGAGGCAUGUUUUCAGCCAAAUAUAUAUAUGCAUUUUUUAAUCUCCUGUGACAGUUUUUUAAAGAACACAUUUUGAUGUGGCUUUUGACUUUCUCUGGACUCCUUACAGAUUCCUAUUUUGGAGAGAUUUUACUGGAAGCUGUGCUGAUGCCCUGGCAGCCAAGAGGGCAAAACCACAGUCUGGUGUGCAUUAAAUCCAACACAGCCAGCUAGUCAAAUGAGGCAAUUAUACCACUGUUGACAGUGCAAGGGGACAGCCCAAAGCUGUGGAAGGAGAGGACUGGGAAUUAGAAGUGUUUAUUUUCUGCAAGCAUGGUCAAACACUGGAACAGGCUUACGAGCAAGGUGUUGAUGCCUCAUGCCUGUCCAUGUUCAAGAGCUAUGAGAAUAACAGCCCUAAAGAGGUCAGGCAGGUCGACAUGGCCUUUGUAGGCCCUUAUCCAACUGAACAGUUCUAAUAAAAGUAGGUGCACAUAGCACUGCAGAACUGCAAGGUAUCUUAAUUUCUGUUGUGGUAUCAGUUAAAUUCAACACACGCUGACUUUACUGGCUAUUCUGCAGUGCACUGAGGUUAGCUGCUCCAGUCUUAAAAUCCUCUUAAACAUACAUGUAAAUGCUAGCUUAUUUCUACGUAAACAUAAAAAAGCAGCACAAUUUACAGCCAGUCACGUUGUUUUAGCUAAGAGAUCAGAGACACCAACACUGUAUUUAUCCAAAACAUAUUAUAGGAUACAAGGAAGACUGGGCACAUUAUCAUCAUCUGUAUGGCAUACAUGGGAUGGACUGCUUCAGCAUCAGCAAACCCUUUCUCAUCAUUUUCAUGGCAGCAGAAAUUUCUUCAGAGAAAAGGAAUUCACAGGUACCUCACUGUAAAUCCACUCUUUGCCAGUUCAGAACGUACCUGUAAUGUCUUCCCCUAAAAGACAAUUCAAACAUUUUGAGGGGAAAAAAUGAAAAAAAAUAAAAUAUAUAUAUACUCAUUUUCACUCCUUUAAUCUCUCUGUUGUAGUGUUAGCACCUAAUAUAUGCAUCCACUCUUCUACUGUCAUCCUAUUUACAAUCCACUGAAAUGUAUACUCUAAAAAUACAAUACAGUUUCAGAAAUGUAAGGGGAAAUGCACAAUUUUCUAAGGUUUAAAAAAGUGACAGCCAUCUGUACAGGAUCAUCAAAUUUAUCAUCCAAGAAGUAAAAUUUACAAGGCAGUAUCCAUCCACACAGCUACAUGAAGGGGUAGGUGCUACACUCAAAGCAGCAGACUUGCUAAUACAACAAAAUAUGGAAUAUGAAAGUGUUUUGGGGCACGGGAAAAUACAUUUAGUACCACUGAAGCUAAAAAUUUAGGAUUAGCCAUAUUCUAAAAACAUGUAACUGCAAACCUGGAAAACGUUCUGAAAAUAUUAAGCAUUAUAUACACGAGGUAAAUGUACCUUGGCCUUUUAAGAGGUAAUUAGAGUUUAAAGCAACUGAUAGUGAUUUUUUUUUUUUAUAAACAUGAAAUGAUUAACACCAUACAAUCGUUUCAAUGGAACAGUAUAAACAAGAAACUAACUAAAAGCUGGAAUUCAUGACAAUCACACGCAGAACCAUGACUGAAAAUAUAAUAUAGCCUCUUAUUUGUUUGACACCUUCAUGUUCCCAUACAGUCAGUGUUUUUAUAUACAAAGUCUUUCUCAGGAUUACAAGUGAGACCACAGGAGGGUGACAGCAGAUCAUCACGCCUGGAAAAUCAGCUUGAUAAACAUCUCAGAAUUCCAGCUUUCAACAUUAGAAGGUCCCUGAAGAACUCCAGCAUUCCAAAAGCAUUAUUUUGGGCUUUUCAGCAUCAGAAAAUUCUCCCCACUCUUUAUUCUACAUGUCAGUAUGCAUCCAACUGAUCGCCGAGGCUUCCAAUGCUACUAAAAUAUCAAAUUGAUUGAAUCCAUAAAACUUAAGUGAACAUAUAAGGUACGUAUAUUUACAAUAAACAUUUGCAUCAGUAUUCAAACUGUUUUGGUAUAUACUUGAAAUGAUAUAAAAUUAGUAUUUUGAAUGCUAAAAUAUUUUGGUCCCCCUGGAUUUCCAAGAGCAGAUCCGGUGAUAAUAAAAUCUUAAUUUAAAAAAUACUUAUGUGUACCUGUGUCCAUACAUAUAAGAUAUGAUCUUGCACAGGUAACACUUAAAGUUACAUAAUAUAUACAGACACAGCCUUUGUAAAAGGUGUUCAGUUUUUAUAAUGUAAAAGAACACAGCAUGAAGUCGUGGUAUCCGAACUGAGGAUACAUACAUAUCCAUUCAGAAUUUUCCUGUACUGCAUUCCAAUAUGAACAACAUAGUUGUUCUAAAAUAAUAUUUGUAAUGUCACACAGUAUUGACUGUCCUUCCCAUGGCAUGAUGUUUCUAAAUUAUGAACUAUACCAUUUGUAUCUAUGAUAAGGAAUCAGGUAAAGCUACGACAAAUGUCAGAAUUUAACAUUAUUUAGAUAGUAAGUCUCUAAAAUUAGUAUGGAGCAAAUAGUAAGUCUUCCUCUGAUGCUGACUUGUUUUCUGUAAGUAUUUUUCUGCAUCUACAGGAUGCAUUAAAGGGGCAUGUCAAAUAAGUAGAAUGAAGAGUCUGGUUACAUUUGGUCAUUUGCAUAAAGGUAGUUUAAAAUCCCUAUGUGAAGUCAUUUUGAUUUAACUUUGACUGACGGCGUCCUGAAAGCAGCGUGCCAAAAAGAAACACAACACACAGGUGGGACAGUUGUACGAACAUUGCAACCCACCUGUUUUCUACUGAGAACUUCUCUGUCAUUGUGUUCUGUUCUCUAAACUCAUCCACUGUGGUGGCUGAAGAAAGAAUUGCGUGACACGCAGCUCAAACUCUGCCAUAAUUCCACAUCAUUUAAUCCCAUCUCCAAGCAAGCAUUAAGAGUUUGGCACUGCUCAAGACUUACCUAACGCUAAGCCUUGGCCAAGACUUUUGCCACCUACACGGCCUUUUCAUUAGGCUCUCUGCCCAUCUUACUGCUGUUACCAAUUGUGCAUCACAGACGAGGGGCACAAUCUCAGCUAUGCUACCGUUAGCAAAUCACCUUGCCAUCCCUACUAGCUCUGUGAAAAGCCUUCUAGGAGCUAUAUGCUGAAAAACAAAAAGAAAGCAGAAUUAAGGUUGCUGUGUGUUGCUCGCCAAGAAUACUCCUGGAGAGUGAAAGGUUAAUUGUUAGUUUAUAUACUAAUUACCAGCCAAAGAUCAACCACACUCUUCCUACCACUGCAAGUAAAACAUAUCCUGGCAAGAACAAAUUUUAACAAGUUUCCCUACCCUCAUUCAGAAGUUGGGCAGGAAGGAAUUCAAUUUCUAAACAAGUCUGCGAAGAUACUGUGAUGUCCCUACAACUUCAGGCAAGGUCUGACUAAAGCCAGGCAUGCUUUUAUGUAUCCUUACAACAACACAAACCAUCAUAAGCUUUGUUCUUCUGAAGAACAUUGAUGGAGUCUUCUGGUAUUUGUAUCUAAAGGCCUUCAGCUCACUGGUUUCUAUAGCUCAUCCCUUUCUUUGUAUGUGGCACACAGAAAAUAUGCACAUAAGAUUUACAGGCAGCUUCUAGCUUUCUUGUACAAAAGCCUAAAUAAGUCUCCCUAGUUACAACUACACUUCACGCUCAUUUAAUUGUGAAUAUUAGCUUUUAAGCCUAAAGACUCCACAGAACUGCACAGAAUAUAUGCUUCUAUUACUUAAUUUGAAGGGGGAAAAUCUUCCUUGAGAUCAUCUUAAUUUUCACGCUAUUUUUCUGAAGUAGGUUGGUCUUCAAGAUUUCAGAAUUACCACAUAAAAUAAAGCUUAAAUUACGACUCAUGACUUGGCAAUUACAAAGUGUGACAAUGAAUUAACCAGUUUACAUGUUUUGAGACUCAUACAAUAGUUUAAAGAGUUAGAUUUUGGUGAAAUUCAAGGUCUUCCACAAAUUACACACUCACUUGCUGAAAUGAGUGCGAGUUAAAUCUUACCUAGGGAAAGGAACAGUUCAUUCUUGGAAAUCAAAAGUACCAUGGGCUCUGUACACUUGCUGGUAUGCAUGAAAAGACUCAAAAGCAGCACUUACUGAUAUAAUACAAUCUAUUUUAAAGGCAAUGUAGUGUUCUGAAAAUAUGGAAAAAAAAAACAAAA